CACAAUGACCCAUAUAACAUAGUAUUACCCCCCUGACGGUGCUAUAGGGAGAGACCUAGAAGCAGGGUAACUAGAGAUUAUUAUGUAGUCUGGGUGUUCUAUAAUACUAGAAGCAGGGUAACUAGAGAUUAUUAUGUAGUCUGGGUGUUCUAUAAUACUAGAAGCAGGGUAACUAGGGAUUAUUAUGUAGUCUGGGUGUUCUAGAAGCAGGGUAACUAGGGAUUAUUAUGUAGUCUGGGUGUUCUAGAAGCAGGGUAACUAGGGAUUAUUAUGUAGUCUGGGUGUUCUAGAAGCAGGGUAACUAGGGAUUAUUAUGUAGUCUGGGUGUUCUAGAAGCAGGGUAACUAGGGAUUAUUAUGUAGUCUGGGUGUUCUAUAAUACUAGAAGCAGGUAACUAGGGAUUAUUAUGUAGUCUGGGUGUUCUAUAAUACUAGAAGCAGGGUAACUAGGGAUUAUUAUGUAGUCU